rnacentral:rRNA from 1 species
GAUGAACGCUGGCGGCGUGCCUAAUACAUGCAAGUCGAGCGGACGGGCGAGGAGCUUGCGGCGUUGAUGUUAGCGGCGGACGGGUGAGUAACACGUGGAUAAUCUACCUAUAAUACUGGUAUAACUUGGGGAAACGGGAUAUAAUACCGUAUAAUAUUUUGAACCGCGUGGUGGGAAAGUGAGAUACGGUGUUGGGGUCAGGUAUAGAGGGAUACGGGCUGGAUUAGGUGGUUGGGGAGUUAACGGCUUACCAAGGCAACGAGGCAUAGGCGACGGGAGGGGGGGGUCGGCCACACUGGAAGUGGAACACGGUCCAGACGACUACGGGAGGCAGCAGUAGGGAAUCUUCCGCAAUGGGCGAGAGCCUGACGGAGCAACGCCGCGUGAGUGAUGAAGGUCUUCGGAUCGUAAAACUCUGUUAUUAGGUAAGAACAUAUGUGUAAGUAACUGUGCACAUCUUGACGGUAACUAAUAAGAAAGCCACGGCUAACUACGUG